UAUACACCUUAUCCUGCUGUAUUAAACCUCUUAAACUGUUCGCCUGUGUCCGGCUCCGCUACUGUUGGUCCACAUUAACUGAACGUAACAGUUACUUGGAUAAUUGUGGCAAUUCCAGAGCUAAUACAUGCCAACGAGCGCUGACCUCCGGGGAUGCGUGCAUUUAUCAGACCCAAAACCCAUGCGGUGUCGCCCCCCACCUCGGGGAGCGCCCCGGCCACUUUGGUGACUCUAGAUAACCUCGAGCCGAUCGCUGGCCCUCAUGGCGGCGACGUCUCAUUCGAAUAUCUGCCCUCUCAACUUUUGAUGGUACUUUCUGUGCCUACCAUGGUGACCAAGGGUAACGGGCAAUCAGGGUUCGAUUCCGGAGAGGGAGCCUAAGAAACGGCUACCACAUCCAAGGAAGGUAGCAGGCACGCAAAUUACCCACUCCCGACUCGGGGAGGUAGUGACAAAAAAUAACAAUACAGGACUCUUUCGAGGCUCUGUAAUUGGAAUGAGUACACUAAAUCUUUUAACCAGGAUCCAUCGGAGGGCAAGUCUGGUGCCAGCAGCCGCGGUAAUUCCAGCUCCAAUAGCGUAUCUUAAAGUUGCUGCGGUUAAAAAGCUCGUAGUUGGAUCUUGGGAUUGAGCUGACUGUCUGCCGCGAGGCGAGCCACCGUCUGUCCCAGCCCCUGCCUCUCGGCGCCCCCUCAAUGCUCUUAGGUGAGAGUCCCGCGGGGUCCGAAGCGUUUACUUUGAAAAAAUUUGAGUGUUCAAAGCAGGCCCCGGUCGCCUGAAUACCGCAGCUAGGAAUAAUGGAAUAGGACUCCAGUUCUAUUUCGUAGGUUUUCUUCACUGAACUGGGGCCAUGAUUAAGAGGGAUGGCCGAUGGCAUUUGUAUUGUGCCGCUAGAGUUGACAUUUUUGGACCGGCGCAAGACGGGCGAAAUCGAAAGCAUUUGCCAAGACUGUUUUCAUUAAUCAAGAACGAAAGUUGGAGGUUCGAAAAUGAUCAGAUAGCAUCGUAGUUCCGACCGUAAACGAUGCCAACUAGCGAUCUGGCGGCGUUAUUCCCAUGACCUGCCGGGCAGCGUCUGGGAAACCAAAGUCUUUGGGUUCCGGGGCGAGUAUGGUUGCAAAGCUGAAACUUAAAGGAAAGCCUGCGGCUUAAUUUAACUCAACACGGGAAACCUCAUCCGGCCCGGACACGGAAAGGAUUGACAGAUUGAUAGCUCUUUCUCGAUUCUGUGGGUGGUGGUGCAUGGCUGCUCUUAGUUGGUGGAGCGGCAUGCGGAGGCAUUCAGCCAAAACAUGUCUGUGAUGCCCUUAGAUGUCCGGGGCUGCACGAGCUUCGCACUGAGUAGAUCAGCGUGUGUCUACCCUUCGCCGAGAGGCGUGGGUAACCCGCUGAACCCCACUCGUGAGUGGGAUUGGGGAUUGCAAUUAUUUCCCAUGAACGAGGAAUUCCCAGUAAGUGCGGGUCAUAAGCUCACGUUGAUUAAGUCCUUGCCCUUUGUACACACCGCCCAUCGCUACUACCGAUUGGAUGGUUUAGUGAGUUCUCGCACAGCCCCGCCGGGGUUGUUCGCGGAUCCUGGCAGAGCGCCGAGAAGACGGUCGAACUUGACUAUCUAGAAAAAGUAAAACUUGUAACAAGGUUUCCGUAGGUGAACCUGCCUGCG
rnacentral:rRNA from 1 species